UACGUAGGGUGCGAGCGUUGUCCGGAAUUACUGGACGUAAAGAGCUCGUAGGUGGUUUGUCGCGUUGUCCGUGAAAACUCACAACUCAAUUGUGGGCGUGCGGGCGAUACGGGCAGACUGGAGUACUGCAGGGGAGACUGGAAUUCCUGGUGUAGCGGUGGAAUGCGCAGAUAUCAGGAGGAACACCGGCGGCGAAGGCGGGUCUCUGGGCAGUAACUGACGCUGAGGAGCGAAAGCGUGGGGAGCGAACAGG
rnacentral:rRNA from 1 species